CCUACGGGAGGCAGCAGUGAGGAAUAUUGGUCAAUGGACGAGAGUCUGAACCAGCCAAGUAGCGUGAAGGAUGACUGCCCUAUGGGUUGUAAACUUCUUUUAUAUGGGAAUAAAACGUUCCACGUGUGGGAUUUUGUAUGUACCAUAUGAAUAAGGAUCGGCUAACUCCGUGCCAGCAGCCGCGGUAAUACGGAGGAUCCGAGCGUUAUCCGGAUUUAUUGGGUUUAAUGGGAGCGUAGGUGGAUUGUUAAGUCAGUUGUGAAAGUUUGCGGCUCAACCGUAAAAUUGCCGUUGAAACUGGCAGUCUUGAGUACAGUAGAGGUGAGCGGAAUUCGUGGUGUAGCGGUGAAAUGCUUAGAUAUCACGAAGAACUCCGAUUGCGAAGGCAGUUCACUGGACUGCAACUGACACUGAGGCUCGAAAGUGUGGGUAUCAAACAGGAUUAGAUACCCCGGUAGUC
rnacentral:rRNA from 1 species